rnacentral:rRNA from 1 species
AUUGAACGCUGGCGGCAGGCCUAACACAUGCAAGUCGAACGGUAACAGGAAGAAGCUUGCUUCUUUGCUGACGAGUGGCGGACGGGUGAGUAAUGUCUGGGAAACUGCCUGAUGGAGGGGGAUAACUACUGGAAACGGUAGCUAAUACCGCAUAACGUCGCAAGACCAAAGAGGGGGACCUUCGGGCCUCUUGCCAUCGGAUGUGCCCAGAUGGGAUUAGCUAGUAGGUGGGGUAACGGCUCACCUAGGCGACGAUCCCUAGCUGGUCUGAGAGGAUGACCGGCAAAACUGAAAAUGGGACCCGGGCCGACCUCCGAGGGGGGGCAGAGGGGGGGAAAAUGGAACAAGGGGGGGAAGCCUGAUGCACCCGUGCGGGGGGUAUGAAGAAGGCCGUGGGGUGUAAAAGUCCUUUCCGCGGGGAGGAGGGGAGUAAAGUUAAACCCUUUGCCCAUGGACGUAACCCGCGGAAGAAGCACCGGCUACCCCCU